rnacentral:rRNA from 1 species
UACGUAGGGUGCAAGCGUUAAUCGGAAUUACUGGGCGUAAAGCGUGCGCAGGCGGUUUUGUAAGACUGUCGUGAAAUCCCCGGGCUCAACCUGGGAAUGGCGAUGGUGACUGCAAGGCUAGAGUUUGGCAGAGGGGGGUAGAAUUCCACGUGUAGCAGUGAAAUGCGUAGAUAUGUGGAGGAACACCGAUGGCGAAGGCAGCCCCCUGGGUUAACACUGACGCUCAGGCACGAAAGCGUGGGGAGCAAACAGG